rnacentral:misc_RNA from 1 species
UACGUAGGUGGCAAGCAUUGUCCGGAAUUAUUGGGCGUAAAGGGCGCGUAGGCGGUCCCUUAAGUCAGAUGUGAAAUCCCGAGGCUCAACCUCGGGCGUGCAUUUGAAACUGGGGGACUAGAGUGCAGGAGAGGUAAGUGGAAUUCCUAGUGUAGCGGUGAAAUGCGUAGAUAUUAGGAGGAACACCAGUGGCGAAGGCGACUUACUGGUCUGUAACUGACGCUGAGGCGCGAAAGCGUGGGGAGCAAACAGG